ensembl:lncRNA
GGGCAGGGGAGAUGUUAAUUAUUUACAGUGGUGGAUGGGGAAGCUGCAGAAGAACACGUGGGCCAGCGUCUACUGGAGCUAACUGCUUUUUCAUCACAAAUGAACCCAGGAUGUCUUUAUCUGAGGACCUAAAAGUACACUGGUUAAAUUACACUUUUCUUGGAUUUGCUGGCAAAUUGCAUGUGGAUUGAGAAAGAAGGCCAAGCAUGAUGUCAAGGUUUUUGCCCCUAGCAGCUGAAGACAUGAUGUCUAGGCGCACCGACGAAGAAUGGAUUUUGGGGGAAAAGCCAGGCACCCCAUUUGGACAUGUUUGCAGCUUGAGAGACCUACUGAAUAUCCAAACGGAGAUAGAAAGUCACCUGUGCACCUCUUAAUUCUGGGGGAGAAGUUCACGCCAGGGAUAAAGGUAGUAUUUAAAGCCAUGAGACAGUUAAACUGAGAUAUGACUGUAGAACGAAAUAAAGUGGAAAAGAAGUUCAGGUGCAGGCUGAGCCCAGGGACAUUCCAAUAGUGGUGACAAUAACACAUCUGGGCACCAGCUCCAUAUGAGCAGAUGCUCAUGUCCCCGUAUAAAGAUGCUUUGGGGUAAGUGCUCUCAACCUGAUUCAGUGAAGGGGACUCUGUCUCCCAGAGUUCAAUCAUCUGUCCAAGGACACACGAGUGUAUAAGUGCUAAAUCCAUCUGACUUCCAAGUUUCCUUUCCUCUACCAACCUAAGUUAUAAACCUUGGCAUCAUUCUUUAUCUUCUCUUCCCCACUUAAGUAGCCUUUCACUUCUAUUCACAUGAAGCUUUACACACAGGGCUUUCUAAUCUUUCAUUACUGAACUUGAACUCUCAUUACUGCCCCCUCACAGGAUUUCCUGCCAGGAGACUCUCUCUGCUCUAAUCCAUUCCUUAUCUUCCCCCAAAUAAAGCAGAUCUUAUCGCCUUCCUACUUAGCCCUUCUAUUAAUUCCCCACACACUAUGAUCUGGCUUCCUUAGCUGGGUUUAUUGGAGCCUUCACAGUUUGGCUCCAUAUUCUUAUGCAACUUAGCUUCAUGAACUGUUGUUGUUGUUUUUCUUUUUUGUGCCUUGUGGUUAAAACCAUCCAGUGCAAUAUGGCAAAGAAGACAGGAUAGUAGGCUCCAAGCCUUAUUGCAGAGGAAUAAGACUCAGAAGAAA